CCUGAGCCCACGGCCCGGCCCCUCUUACUCACCGUCCACCCGUCCUGUGUUCUCACACACGGUCACAGCGCAGGUAAAAAUAGGAUCACACGGACGCCCUGUGUCCCCGCCCCAGGGAGAACCCUAGACCCAUCCCAAAUUCCUUGGGCUCAGAUUCUCCAAGGGGGUGAGGUCCUUGCCUUGGGGGAAGAGACAUUUGAAGUUUCAUUGUCCCAGGGUCUGGGAAGCUUUUCCAUUCAAGCUUCAUUCCCAGGGCGCUUGCAGCCAGAUGGGCCGUGCUUGCUUCCACCUGCAUGAUGGCAGGGGUUAGAGGUUCAGAGAGAGGGAGGAGGCACCCCAGAGAUUGAGACUGGCAGAGACACUUGGGAAUCCCAGAAUCGCAAAUCCAGAGAGGUCCCUUGUCCCUGGUACUUGUCCUCCUGCCUUGACAGCUCUCCAUGAGUCCUCUCCUGAGAAGCCCCCGAGCCAAGGCUGGAUCCUCUGCAAAUACAGCUCAGGUUCUCCAACCGAGGCCCCCGGGCCCUCGAGGGGCGCAGGAGGGUGUCCCUUCACCCUCACCCGCAGUCAUUGUCCCACCGUCCAGAUUCACCGCGAUGACCAUCAGGGCUGUCUCCUUGCCCCUCCUGUGCUGACUUCAGCUGAGCUCUCCCCUCUAUUUCCUGCCCACGGACACAGCUACCCACCCACCCCAAACCCCAAUGCGCUCACCUACAGCUUGCCACAGUUCGCUUGUCCCGAAUUGCGAUUCUUCUGCUAUUCCCAA
rnacentral:lncRNA from 1 species